CAAGUGAUGUAUCUCAAGGCUUCGAUACCACUGACUGAGAUCUGAAGGCUAUUUCCUCCCUGA
rnacentral:snoRNA from 1 species